rnacentral:rRNA from 1 species
AUUGAACGCUGGCGGCAUGCCUUACACAUGCAAGUCGAACGGUGACGCGGGGCAACCUGGCGACGAGUGGCGAACGGGUGAGUAAUGUAUCGGAACGUGCCCAGUUGUGGGGGAUAACUGCUCGACAGAGCAGCUAAUACCGCAUACGACCUGAGGGUGAAAGCGGGGGAUCGCAAGACCUCGCGCAAUUGGAGCGGCCGAUAUCAGAUUAGGUAGUUGGUGGGGUAAAGGCCCACCAAGCCAACGAUCUGUAGCUGGUCUGAGAGGACGACCAGCCACACUGGGACUGAGACACGGCCCAGACUCCUACGGGAGGCAGCAGUGGGGAAUUUUGGACAAUGGACGCAAGUCUGAUCCAGCCAUGCCGCGUGCGGGAAGAAGGCCUUCGGGUUGUAAACCGCUUUUGUCAGGGAAGAAACGCUCUGGGUUAAUACCUCGGGGUAAUGACGGUACCUGAAGAAUAAGCACCGGCUAACUACGUGCCAGCAGCCGCAGUAAGAC